UGAGGAAUCUUGCGCAAUGGGGGAAACCCUGACGCAGCGACGCCGCGUGAGUGAAGAAGGCCUUCGGGUCGUAAAGCUCUGUCAAGUGGGAAUAAAACUGUGCAUUUAAUAGAUGCACGGUAUGAAGGUACUACUAAAGGAAGCACCGGCUAACUCCGUGCCAGCAGCCGCGGUAAUACGGAGGGUGCAAGCGUUAUUCGGAUUUAUUGGGCGUAAAGAGCGUGUAGGCGGUUGGGUUAGUCAGAUGUGAAAUCCUUCUGCUCAACGGAAGAAGUGCGUCUGAAACUGCUCAACUUGAGUACGAGAGAGGAAAGUGGAAUUCCCAGUGUAGAGGUGAAAUUCGUAGAUAUUGGGAGGAACACCUGUGGCGAAGGCGACUUUCUGGAUCGAUACUGACGCUGAGACGCGAAAGCGUGGGGAGCAAACA
rnacentral:rRNA from 1 species